UACGAAGGGGGCUAGCGUUGUUCGGAUUUACUGGGCGUAAAGCGCACGUAGGCGGCGCGUUAAGUCGGGUGUGAAAGCCCUGGGCUCAACCCAGGAAGUGCAUUCGAAACUGGCGCGCUUGAAUAUGGAAGAGGGUCGCGGAAUUCCCGGUGUAGAGGUGAAAUUCGUAGAUAUCGGGAGGAACACCAGUGGCGAAGGCGGCGACCUGGGCCAAUAUUGACGCUGAGGUGCGAAAGCGUGGGGAGCAAACAGG
rnacentral:rRNA from 1 species